UCGGGAAUUUUGGGCAAUGGGCGAAAGCCUGACCCAGCAACGCCGCGUGAAGGAUGAAGUAUUUCGGUAUGUAAACUUCGAAAGAAUAGGAAGAAUAAAUGACGGUACUAUUUAUAAGGUCCGGCUAACUACGUGCCAGCAGCCGCGGUAAUACGUAGGGACCAAGCGUUGUUCGGAUUUACUGGGCGUAAAGGGCGCGUAGGCGGCAUGACAAGUCACUUGUGAAAUCUCUGGGCUUAACCCAGAACGGCCAAGUGAUACUGUCGCGCUAGAGUGCAGAAGGGGCAAUCGGAAUUCUUGGUGUAGCGGUGAAAUGCGUAGAUAUCAAGAGGAACACCUGAGGUGAAGACGGGUUGCUGGGCUGACACUGACGCUGAGGCGCGAAAGCCAGGGGAGCAAACGGGAUUAGAUACCCCUGUAGUCCCUGAGCGGGCUGGCAAGGCGCAU
rnacentral:rRNA from 1 species